GACAGUAAUUAAAGGACGCGAAGGAACUGAGUUUUCCGACGGCGAAGUGUUGAUUUUCCCACAAAUGAUCAAAUACAGGCUGUGUGCCGGUAACAUGGCUUGGUUUCUAACCAAUUGAUGUCCUUGUGAACGACAAACCAUGGGCUUCCGUAGUGCAAGAGGCGUUGACUGGCUCCCAUGUAUUUGUAUGUCUACAUGGAAGUCGAGAUAAAAAUGUGGAGUUUGUGGACCUAUUCUCAUUGAUAAGUUCAAAGAGGAGGCUGAGCUGCGAGGAUUGACAAAUCAGGUAUUUGUUACUGCUUGCUCUCACAUUGGAGACCACAAGUGUGCUGGAAACUUGAUUGUCUACAGCCCAGGUUCAGAUGGAAGCAUAACAGGCCAUUGGUAUGGCUACGUCACUCCUAAGGAUGUGCCGGAAUUGCUUGAUCAGCAUAUUGGGAAGGGAGAGAUCAUAGAACGACUUUGGAGGAUUGUGUGUUUUCGGUUUUGCCAACCGUCUGCUGAUGAAAAGUUCACUGGAACUGAAGCUUCUGUUGUCAUAUUUUCCUAUUGCUGAUUACUUAUAGUGUUGGAAGAUAGAUUAUUGAUAUGGAGUUACAUUAACAUUGAGGAACCAAAUCAAACAACUCGUGUGAACCAAAUCAAACAAUUUUUUUUUUUUUAUAGAACCAAACCAAAGGUGGUUUUGGGGAAGGGGGGACGGGGUCAAGGGCCAAAUGGGAGCAUCUUCGGAUGAAGCUGAAAAAAUUAAUGACCAGAAGCUUCCAAAUGGAGGAGAAAGUAAGAAAAUGGAGGAGAAGCCCUAAGAAAACGGCAAUCAGAUUCAGAAUAAUGAGAACUUUUCAGGCUGUUGCCAGGGUGCUAAUAGUAAUGGAUUUACAUGCUGCAAAGAAGUAAGUUUAGAGCAGAACAAUGGAAGUGAGGAAAAGAAGGUGAAAGAAACCAGAGAGUCGUGUGCCAGGAAGGAUGCCUUAGGGAAGCUGUCAAGCUUGAUCGGGAACUGGGAGCAAAGCGAUGUUCUCGCAGCUGCUGCCGUGGUUGGAGCUGUGGCAACAGUGGCUGUGGCCUAUAGCUUUUACAGAAGGUCAGGCUGAAACGUACUCUAAUCCAUGUCGGGUUUUGCCAUGGGUGUAGAGGCCCUAUUUUCUUCUUUUUUUUCUUUGUAGAAAGGUGUUAUAACGUCAAUUAAAUAAGCUCUUAUAUGAAAGGAGAAUAUGGUAGCUACACUAUACGUUCUUUUUCGGAGGGUUUGAUGAAUUCCCGAAGCUAAUCCAUAUAUAGUUACAAAAGUAUUCACUGUUCCUUUAUGUUGAUUGCUUACACAACUGAAAUCUGUUGUUCCAACACACCGUUGAAUGGUUUUAUCUUGAUAGUGGGAUUUGUUGUGA